rnacentral:rRNA from 1 species
UACGAAGGGGGCUAGCGUUGCUCGGAACGACUGGGCGUAAAGGGCGCGUAGGCGGUUCGGAUAGUCAGAUGUGAAAUUCCCGGGCUUAACCUGGGGACUGCAUUUAAUACUGUCGGGCUUGAGUAUGGAAGAGGGUCGUGGAAUUCCCAGUGUAGAGGUGAAAUUCGUAGAUAUUGGGAAGAACACCGGUGGCGAAGGCGGCGACCUGGUCCAUAACUGACGCUGAGGCGCGAAAGCGUGGGGAGCAAACAGG